CGGGGCGCGGGCCGUGUGACGCCGCCGGCGGCCUCGGGAGGGCUGCGUGAUGACGCAGGCGCGCGGACUCCUGUGGCGUGUGUGGCGGCAGUCAUGGCGGACGGGGGCGGCGAGGUCUGCUUUCGGCGGGACUCUCCCGGGCGUCGGCUUCAUCCGAGGCCAUCGAGGAUCCCAGGCGGGGCCCGCCGUCUGCUAAGGCUGGAGUGCGCUGACGCGUAGAAGAACGCGGGAGAGAGGCCGUUUUGUGCAGUGACGCCACGACACGGGUAACCCCUGGGACUGGUCGAGGCCUCCAGCAGACCCAGGCCCCUCCUGUGUCCGAGCCCAGGCACUGAACACACCGGCCUCCACGCAGCCACCCUCAGGAGACACUUCCUUCCCGUGAGUCUUGCGUUUCUUCGGUUCCGGGAGCGAGGCACUGACUGCCUUUGGCCCAGGCUGUCU